rnacentral:rRNA from 1 species
UACGGAGGGUGCGAGCGUUGUCCGGAAUCACUGGGCGUAAAGGGCGCGUAGGCGGCCUGAUAAGUAGGGGGUGAAAUCCUGCGGCUUAACCGCAGGGCUGCCUUCUAAACUGUCAGGCUCGAGCACAGUAGAGGCAGGUGGAAUUCCCGGUGUAGCGGUGGAAUGCGUAGAGAUCAUGAGGAAGACCAGUGGCGAAGGCGGGUCUCUGGACAGUUCCUGACACUGAGACACGAAGGCCAGGGGAGCAAACGGG